rnacentral:rRNA from 2 species
AACCCUGACGCAGCAACNCCGCGUGAGUGAAGAAGGCCUUUGGGUNGUAAAGCUCUGUCAACAAGGAAGAAAUUAGGAUCUAUUAAUAGUNGGUUCUAUUGACGGUACUUGUGGANGAAGCNCCGGCUAACUCCGUNCCAGCAGCCGCGGUAACACGGGGGGCGCAAGCGUUAUUUGGAAUUAUUGGGCGUAAAGGGCGCGCAGGCGGUCUUGUCCGUCAGGUGUGAAAGCCCGGGGCUCAACCCCGGAAGUGCACUUGAAACAGCAAGACUUGAAUACNGGAGAGGAGAGAGGAAUUCCUGGUGUAGAGGUGAAAUUCGUAGAUAUCAGGAGGAACACCGAUGGCGAAGGCAUCUCUNUGGACCGAUAUUGACGCUGAGGCGCGAAGGCGUGGGUAGCNAACNGGAUUAGAUACC